rnacentral:tRNA from 1 species
GGCUUCGUGGUCAAGUGGUAAGGACACUUGCUUCUCAACCUGGAGUCCCGGGUUCGAUCCCGUGUCGAGGAGCUA